UACGUAGGGGGCUAGCGUUGUCCGGAUUUAUUGGGCGUAAAGAGCGUGUAGGCGGUCUGGUAGGUCCGUUGUGAAAACUCGAGGCUCAACCUCGAGACGCCGAUGGAAACCAUCAGACUAGAGUCCGGAAGAGGAGAGUGGAAUUCCUGGUGUAGCGGUGAAAUGCGCAGAUAUCAGGAAGAACACCCGUGGCUAAGGCGGCUCUCUAGUACGGUACUGACGCUGAGACGCGAAAGCGUGGGGAGCGAACAGG
rnacentral:rRNA from 1 species